ensembl:lncRNA
GGGACGUAGGCUAGAGACACAGCUUAAGGACGUAGGCUAGAGACGCGGGUUGGGGACGUAGGCUAGAGACGCGGAUUAGGGACGUAGGCUAGGGACGCGGGUUAGGGACGUAGGCUAGAGACGCGGCUUAGGGACGUAGGCUAGGCACGCGGGUUAGGGACGUAGGCUAGGGACGCGGGUUAGGGACGUAGGCUAGGGACGCGGGUUAGGGAUGUAGGCUAGAGACGUACUCUAUGGAUACGAGCUCAGGAUGUGGGCUAGGGGUAUAGGCUACAGAUGCAGGUUUGGGGUCAGGAUGCGGGCUGGAGAUGUAGUCUAGGCCUGUAGGCUAUGGAUGUGGGCUAGGGAUGCAGGUCACAGAUGCUGAGACAUACAACAAGGGGCCCUCACAUGAGAAAAUGUCUUCUUCUUCUGCAACAGAGAAGCUUCUCUUUCCUGAAAGUGAUUGUUGGAUUCCUUACAUUUUAGAAACAGCUACAAUUUCAGCAAGUGGACUCCGUGUUGUUUGCAUUUCUGAACGGUUACCCCUCACUGGCCCACUGCUGGAGCCACCAGGAAGUUGGCCAGAGAGGUCUGCGGAGCCCUGUGGAACACCAGCCAGGACACUCAUCACCACCUGUCCCAGUGAGUGAUGGAGACCCGCACUCAGCCCGCGAGGAGGCGCUGUUACCUCCAGGAGGCAAAACGCCCAGGAUCCACCCACGGAACUCCACCCUGUGAAACGCUUCAGAAUCGCUCCGUUCUCGCUCAUGCGCCCUUUCUUCCAGAUGAAGGUUUGGAUCCACAUUUCUCUCUGGAGAGUCUCUGCUGGGUGCUCAGCCCCAGCUGCGUUUAGAGAGCAGUUUAACAGACGCCGAGCAUCAUGGCUUCCAUCCAGGGCCAUUAGAAAACCCAUCUUUCCAGGACACCCCUCAGACUUCCAGGAUCCCAGAUGGGACUCGCCUGGACGUGCCUACCUUUCCCAGGCAGCUGCCCGUCUUUGCUGUGAAAGUACCACCGCGCCCAGGACGGCACGUGUGCGCCCGGUCCCCAGGGGGCUGUUCUCGUUUAUCCCCACGUGCAGCGCCAGCUUUAGUUCUUCCUCCAGCGCUGAGCAGUUGUGUCUCAGCCCCCCGGCCCUCGCCCCUCCCCUCUCCCUGCGCCCCUCACCACGUCUUGCCCAGGCCUUGGUCUGUUCCUUCCAUUUGUCACCUGCUCUGUCCCCCCACCCACGGCAGAUGAGCACUAGGCGGCGUGGCUUGGUGCUCACGCUGCAGUCCCCAGGGCGCGGUUGUGAUUCACAGGAAGAGCCUCAGCUCAUCAGCACCCUUAUCGUCCCUCUGACUGCACGUUCACCCGCCCCACUGAGCGACUGUCUCAGCUCUCCUAGGUUACGAUGGGAAACCAACGACUGUUUGCAUGAAUAACUAGGCAAUACUGGUCCCAUGAAGCUCCCUGACUGCGGGCACGAUCCAUCGUGAGUGUUUAAAGCUGCCUCUCGGUGUUCCGUAUGGUCUGUAUUUCUGCAUAUCUAUCCUUCAACCUCUGUUACUCAUUAUAUCCUUGGUUUCACUAAAAUUUUACACCUUUUGUGUUUCACAUCAGGUUGAUCUGCUGGAAUGUAUACGCAUUGUGUUAAAUCAACUGACAUUAUUUGUUAAAAAUUAUUAAUUAGAUGGAUCACGGUAAAUACAAGAAGUUUUAAGCUUACUAUGGAAAUAGAGCUAUUU